UGCAUCGUCGUAUCCAAAAAAAGCAGCAAUGAGACAGAAAGUUUAAUCUGUGAGAUGGAAGGACUGCAGAACUUUAACCAGAUAAAGAUCCGGUAUGGAGGCAAAACAAUAAACCUGUGGGAGUUGUCUGUUUUACAUCGAAUCCUUCUGAUCAUUCGGCUCUUGCUAAUACCCUGCAUUAUUGCAGUUCUGGUGAAAAUUUGCUGGUGGAGUAAGAGACUCACUGCUGAGACAAACCAUCUCUGAUCACCUG